CCUACGGGAGGCAGCAGUGAGGAAUAUUGGUCAAUGGGCGGAAGCCUGAACCAGCCAAGUCGCGUGAGGGAAUAAGGCCCUACGGGUCGUAAACCUCUUUUGCCGGGGAGCAAGGGCCGGGACGAGUCCCGGUCCGGAGAGUACCCGGAGAAAAAGCAUCGGCUAACUCCGUGCCAGCAGCCGCGGUAAUACGGAGGAUGCGAGCGUUAUCCGGAUUUAUUGGGUUUAAAGGGUGCGUAGGCGGGCUUUGAGGUCAGCGGUAAACAUUCGGGGCUCAACGCCGUCCGGCCGUUGAACACGGGGGG
rnacentral:rRNA from 1 species